rnacentral:rRNA from 1 species
AUUGAACGCUGGCGGCAGGCCUAACACAUGCGAGUCGAACGGUAACAGGGAUCAGCUUGCUGAUUCGCUGACGAGUGGCGGACGGGUGAGUAAUGUCUGGGAAACUGCCUGAUGGAGGGGGAUAACUACUGGAAACGGUAGCUAAUACCGCAUAACGUCGCAAGACCAAAGAGGGGGACCUUCGGGCCUCUUGCCAUCGGCUGUGCCCAGAUGGGAUUAGCUAGUAGGUGGGGUAACGGCUCACCUAGGCGACGAUCCCUAGCUGGUCUGAGAGGAUGACCAGCCACACUGGAACUGAGACACGGUCCAGACUCCUACGGGAGGCAGCAGUGGGGAAUAUUGCACAAUGGGCGCAAGCCUGAUGCAGCCAUGCCGCGUGUAUGAAGAAGGCCUUCGGGUUGUAAAGUACUUUCAGCGGGGAGGAAGGGAGUAAAGUUAAUACCUUUGCUCAUUGACGUUACCCGCAGAAGAAGCACCGGCUAACUCCGUG